rnacentral:rRNA from 1 species
AUUGAACGCUGGCGGCAUGCCUUACACAUGCAAGUCGAACGGCAGCACGGGUGCUUGCACCUGGUGGCGAGUGGCGAACGGGUGAGUAAUAUAUCGGAACGUACCUUAUCGUGGGGGAUAACGCAGCGAAAGCUGUGCUAAUACCGCAUAAGCCCUACGGGGGAAAGCAGGGGAGCGUAAGGCCUUCCGCGACUAGAGCGGCCGAUACCUGAUUAGCUAGUUGGUGAGGUAAAGGCUCACCAAGGCAACGAUCAGUAGCUGGUCUGAGAUGUGGAUCAGCCACACUGGGACUGAGACACGGCCCAGGCUCCUACGGGAGGCAGCAGUGGGGAAUGUUGGACAAUGGGGGCAACCCUGAUCCAGCAAUGCCGCGUGAGUGAAGAAGGCCUUCGGGUUGUAAAGCUCUUUUGUCAGGGAAGAAACAGCAGCUCUAAUACAGUAUGCGAAUGACGGUACCUGAAGAAUAAGCACCGGCUAACUACGUGCCAGCCGCCGCAGUAA